UUUCCGCGACUGACGGAAAUGUGGAUACAAACCACAGGGGAGCGGAAGACGGGUUUAGUGCCGACCGUCUGGGCAGUCU
rnacentral:ncRNA from 1 species